rnacentral:rRNA from 1 species
GAUGAACGCUGACAGAAUGCUUAACACAUGCAAGUCAACUUGAACUUCGGUUUGGGUGGCGGACGGGUGAGUAACGCGUAAAGAACUUGCCUCACAGCUAGGGACAACAUUUGGAAACGAAUGCUAAUACCUGAUAUUAUGAUUAUAUGGCAUCGUAUAAUUAUGAAAGCUAUAUGCGCUGUGAGAGAGCUUUGCGUCCCAUUAGCUAGUUGGAGAGGUAACAGCUCACCAAGGCGAUGAUGGGUAGCCGGCCUGAGAGGGUGAUCGGCCACAAGGGGACUGAGACACGGCCCUUACUCCUACGGGAGGCAGCAGUGGGGAAUAUUGGACAAUGGACCGAGAGUCUGAUCCAGCAAUGCUGUGUGCACGAUGAAGUUUUUCGGAAUGUAAAGUGCUUUCAGUUGGGAAGAAAAAAUGACGGUACCAACAGAAGAAGUGACGGCUAAAUACGUG